UGCCAUCGCUAAGUCAGGACUUCUUCCAGCGACAAUUAUUUGUCGCGCUUUCGCACAAUGGAGGCUUGUCUGUUACAGCUUUGGCAGAUCGACACUGGUCCGCGCCGAAUCUCUUUCUGAGGCUAGGCUGAUUGGCUUUCGUUUUGAAAACUGGUCGUUAAGGAGCGGGUAGUGCUUUGUUUUUGAGUUGAGAUCUGCUUCUGCCUUUGGCGGUUUACCGUAGCAGAUCUCUUAGUAACAUCUCACACAUUC
rnacentral:snoRNA from 1 species